AGGCCAGACUCCUACGGGAGGCAGCAGUGGGGGAUAUUGCACAAUGGGGGGAACCCUGAUGCAGCGACGCCGCGUGGGCGAGGGAGCGCCUCGGCGCGUAAAGCCCUUUCGGCGGGGGAGAACGAUGACGGUACCCGACGAAGAAGCACCGGCUAAAUACGUGCCAGCAGCCGCGGUAAUACGUAGGUGGCGAGCGUUAUCCGGAAUGAUUGGGCGUAAAGGGUGCGCAGGCGGUCCUGCAAGUCUGGAGUGAAACGCAUGAGCUCAACUCAUGCAUGGCUUUGGAAACUGGAGGACUGGAGAGCAGGAGAGGGCGGUGGAACUCCAUGUGUAGCGGUAAAAUGCGUAGAUAUAUGGAAGAACACCAGUGGCGAAGGCGGCCGCCUGGCCUGUUGCUGACGCUGAGGCACGAAAGCGUGGGGAGCAAAUAGGAUUAGAUACCCGGUAC
rnacentral:rRNA from 1 species